GAGAUGAUCCCUUUGAGUAUCUCAGUGCAGUUAGAAUGAUAACAAGUGAGUUGGGAGCAGAUGACGGUAGAGCCAUUGAGAUGGCAGGGUUCACUUUAAAGUGCAAGAAAGCUAGAGAAUGGUUCAAGAACUAUGUGGACCCGAGACUGGAGAGUAUGACAUGGGAAGAGUUCGCCAACGAAUUUGCUGGAUGGGCUUUUCCUGACAGUUCUAGGGAACUCAAGGUUGUGGAGUUUGAGCAGUUGCGACAGACGGAGGAGAUGAGCGUUGAUGACUAUACAGAUAAGUUCCUG
rnacentral:lncRNA from 1 species